GUCAAAUAGACCUAGUUUUCCUAUGGCCUAUUGACCUGUAUGCCUCUAUCACUGAGCUUCUUGAUGGUAACGGCCAUCAUAAUUCUCAUUAGACUUAUAGCCCUGUCUUCUUAAACCUGAACUUGUAGAUAGUCCAGGCUAGCCAGCAGUGUUAUUUCUGUUACUCUGUGGAAUAUGACUAUACCUUAAGAAUACAGCUGUGAAAUAGGAGAGACUUGGCUACAAGGAAUGCACUGUCAAGAACGAGAUUCCUUGCUCCAGUUCUCCUGGCCUGCUAGUAUUAUUAAAUGUAACCCAAACCCCAAAGCCCAUUGGUAUGGGACCCUCUCCUGGCUGGUGGAGAUCAAUGACCUGUGCCUGUAUGAGGGGUCAGGUUGAGUUGGUGAAAGUGAGAGAGAAGAGAGUCUUUUCAAUCUCUUUGGAUUCUUCUGGCUACCAUCUUCAAGAGAGAAGAUGGGCCAUUACGCUUCUAGUCACCCCAACACGCCAAGGGAGAAGAAGCCAACAUGUAAAACCAAUCAGGACUUCAUUCACAGCUUGUUACACUAGAGACUUUGGGGUAUUUCCUUUUGAAUGAGAUCUGAAAUUCUCUCUUUCAUUUGAGCUAAGAGAUCUCUUUCCCAAUGGGAAAGUUCCUUUGGUUUAGAUGGCCUAGUAUACAUUUUCAUAUGUAUAUUUUCUGAUUUCUGUUUUAGCAUCAACUUGAA